GGGCGAAUGGUCUAGGGGUAUGAUUUUCGCUUCGCAACUUUAAAACUGCGCUCUGUGAAAGGUCCGGGGUUCAAAUCCCCGUUCGUCCA